UGCAUGUCGAGCGGUAGCACAGAGAGCUUGCUCUCGGGUGACGAGCGGCGGACGGGUGAGUAAUGUCUGGGAAACUGCCUGAUGGAGGGGGAUAACUACUGGAAACGGUAGCUAAUACCGCAUAACGUCGCAAGACCAAAGUGGGGGACCUUCGGGCCUCAUGCCAUCAGAUGUGCCCAGAUGGGAUUAGCUAGUAGGUGGGGUAACGGCUCACCUAGGCGACGAUCCCUAGCUGGUCUGAGAGGAUGACCAGCCACACUGGAACUGAGACACGGUCCAGACUCCUACGGGAGGCAGCAGUGGGGAAUAUUGCACAAUGGGCGCAAGCCUGAUGCAGCCAUGCCGCGUGUGUGAAGAAGGCCUUCGGGUUGUAAAGCACUUUCAGCGGGGAGGAAGGCGGUGAGGUUAAUAACCUUGGCGAUUGACGUUACCCGCAGAAGAAGCACCGGCUAACUCCGUGCCAGCAGCCGCGGUAAUACGGAGGGUGCAAGCGUUAAUCGGAAUUACUGGGCGUAAAGCGCACGCAGGCGGUCUGUCAAGUCGGAUGUGAAAUCCCCGGGGCUCAACCUGGGAACUGCAUUCGAAACUGGCAGGCUAGAGUCUUGUAGAGGGGGGUAGAAUUCCAGGUGUAGCGGUGAAAUGCGUAGAGGAUCUGGAAGGAAUACCGGUGGCGAAGGCGGCCCCCUGGACAAAGACUGACGCUCAGGUGCGAAAGCGUGGGGAGCAAACAGGAUUAGAUACCCUGGUUAGUCCACGCCGUAAACGAUGUCGAUUUGGAGGUUGUGCCCUUGAGGCGUGGCUUCCGGAGCUAACGCGUUAAAUCGACCCGCCUGGGGAGUACGGCCGCAAGGUUAAAACUCAAAUGAAUUGACGGGGGCCCGCACAAGCGGUGGAGCAUGUGGUUUAAUUCGAUGCAACGGGCGAAGAACCUUACCUGGUCUUGACAUCCACAGAACUUUCCAGAGAUGGAUUGGUGCCUUCGGGAACUGUGAGACAGGUGCUGCAUGGCUGUCGUCAGCUCGUGUUGUGAAAUGUUGGGUUAAGUCCCGCAACGAGCGCAACCCUUAUCCUUUGUUGCCAGCGGUUAGGCCGGGAACUCAAAGGAGACUGCCAGUGAUAAACUGGAGGAAGGUGGGGAUGACGUCAAGUCAUCAUGGCCCUUACGACCAGGGCUACACACGUGCUACAAUGGCAUAUACAAAGAGAAGCGACCUCGCGAGAGCAAGCGGACCUCAUAAAGUAUGUCGUAGUCCGGAUUGGAGUCUGCAACUCGACUCCAUGAAGUCGGAAUCGCUAGUAAUCGUAGAUCAGAAUGCUACGGUGAAUACGUUCCCGGGCCUUGUACACACCGCCCGUCACACCAUGGGAGUGGGUGCAAAAGAAGUAGGUAGCUUAACCUUCGGGAGGGCGCUACCACUCUUACG
rnacentral:rRNA from 1 species